UGCAGUCGAGCGGAAGGNCCUUCGGGGUACUCGAGCGGCGAACGGGUGAGUAACACGUGAGUAACCUGCCCCCUACUUUGGGAUAACCCUCGGAAACGGGGGCUAAUACCGGAUAUGACCUCCUGGGGCAUCUUGGGGGGUGGAAAGUUUUUCGGUGGGGGAUGGGCUCGCGGCCUAUCAGCUUGUUGGUGGGGUAAUGGCCUACCAAGGCGACGACGGGUAGCCGGCCUGAGAGGGCGACCGGCCACACUGGGACUGAGACACGGCCCAGACUCCUACGGGAGGCAGCAGUGGGGAAUAUUGCACAAUGGGCGGAAGCCUGAUGCAGCGACGCCGCGUGAGGGAUGAAGGCCUUCGGGUUGUAAACCUCUUUCAGCAGGGACGAAGCGCAAGUGACGGUACCUGCAGAAGAAGCACCGGCCAACUACGUGCCAGCAGCCGCGGUAAGACGUAGGGUGCGAGCGUUGUCCGGAAUUAUUGGGCGUAAAGAGCUCGUAGGCGGCUUGUUGCGUCGGCUGUGAAAACCCGCGGCUCAACCGUGGGCUUGCAGCCGAUACGGGCAGGCUAGAGUUCGGUAGGGGAGACUGGAAUUCCUGGUGUAGCGGUGAAAUGCGCAGAUAUCAGGAGGAACACCGGUGGCGAAGGCGGGUCUCUGGGCCGAUACUGACGCUGAGGAGCGAAAGCGUGGGGAGCGAACAGGAUUAGAUACCCUGGUAGUCCACGCUGUAAACGUUGGGCGCUAGGUGUGGGGGANCUCUCCGGUUCUCUGUGCCGCAGCUAACGCAUUAAGCGCCCCGCCUGGGGAGUACGGNCGCAGGGCUAAAACUCAAAGGAAUUGAGGGGGCCCGCACAAGCGGCGGANCAUGUGGAUUAAUUCGAUGCAACGCGAANAANCUUACCUGGGUUUGA
rnacentral:rRNA from 1 species